rnacentral:rRNA from 1 species
GACGAACGCUGGCGGCGUGCCUAAUACAUGCAAGUCGAACGCAGUGGGGACGGGUGAGUAACACGUGGGUAACCUCCCAUCAGAGGGGAUAACACUUGGAAACAGGUGCUAAACCGAUACUGAUGGAUGGACCCGCGGUGCAUUAGCUAGUUGGUGAGGUAACGGCCCACCAAGGCCACGAUGGAUAGCCGACCGGGUAGGGUGAUGGGCACCACUGGGACUGGGAGAAGGCCCAGACUCCUACGGGAGGCAGCAGUAGGGAAUAGUCGGAAAUGGACGAAAGUCUGACCGCGCAACGCCGCUUGAGUGAAGAAGGUUUUCGGAUCGUAAAACUCUGUUGUUAUAGAGGCGGUAUCUAACCAGAAAGCCACGGCUAACUACGUGCCAGCCGCCGCGGUAAUUC